rnacentral:tRNA from 1 species
GGGUGCGUAGCUCAGCGGUAGAGCAUCUGACUUUUAAUCAGGUGGUCCCGGGUUCGAUUCCCGGCGCACCCACCA